GCAGUGAGUGGACUAACACAGGGCACAUAGCAGCAGCCAUAUAAAGCCUGCCUGCCUUUGAACUGGCCAGUGUGUGGAGGUGUUGGGGCCCUGAGGUGCUUACAUCCCUGACUGUCCCUGCCCAGCACCCUGAGGUUCUCCCAACACCACCCAAGGCCCAGGACCCCAUGUCAACCUCCUGGGCUGGUUGAUCUCUACCCCACUGAUGUCAUGGCAGGGCUGGUCUCCAGCUCUCUUGCCCAGCCAUGGAUCCCACUGAGCUGGGCCCACCCCUGGGCCUGUGUCCUAGUCUGGCCUCAGCCCAUCCCCAGGAAGUGCCUGGUGCCAGGGACUGGGGCCUCCAUGGUGCACCCCCUGCUCCAUUUCUGACUGGAAUGGAGAGACGGGCCCUGCUGCCAGUCUCUGCCCUGCCUCUCCAGGAGAACCCAUGUGGUCCUGACCCCAGAGGAGUUGCUGACCUAGGUUACUUCCUGACAGAAACUCUAAGGAAUAAAACUAAAGUAUUAUGAUUAUAUACCAUUGUGACUGUUUAAAUGGGAUCAAACCAAUGAAGAAAUUCGGAAUUUUACCAACUUGCUGCUGAAAGAGUAACAAGUCUCCACAGCAAUAUCCACUUACUCCUAUGUUUUGAGGAGACUUGCUUGAGCAGUCCAGAAUUAUUUAAGAGAUGGGAACCAGAAACAUGGAAAAGGCACGGAGGAGUAAGAGGCAAGAGAAGUCCUUGGGCAAUAAGAUGGAUAAGAGACACAUAAUACUCUUCCUUCUGAAUCUGUGAGGAACUCAAAUUCAACUAAUAUAAGUCAUCAGAGAGACUGCAGUUUCUUGAUUUGCAUUAACCCAUGAAAGACUGGAAAAGGCUGUUUAAACUAAACUGUGCUAAUGGACUUGCACAUACAAGGCUAUGGAAGAAACUGGUACAAAAACCCAGACAUCAAAUAUGGACAAACACAAGGAUGUUCUCAGAGAGCUUCUUAAAACAGUCUCAAAGCACUUUAGCACACCAGCUCUUUACACUGAAAUUCUGUGAGCUUGCUAACAUAAGAAGGUUAAUUACUGAUUUCCAGGGGCUGUUUUAAAAGGCCCAAAGUGUCAGUAGUUUCACAUCUGCUAUUAAGCGAACAUAAUGUGUUUCUAAACCAUUUCAUACUGUGGUUUUGUGCUGUUUGUUAUCUAAAAGAUUUGUCAGAUCAUCUAAACCCAGGCUGAUAUGUGAAUACUGACUAUUUUGUUGCUGUAAAGCAUUUUCUUGCGGAAGUUUCAGGUGAAUAUAGUACUUCACUGUAAUACAAAUGUUUCCUAAAUUCUAUUUCAUUAUAUUUGUGAAUUAAAGUAGCAGCAACUCUCUGAAACAUUAAGUCCAUCACUAUUCAACUUGACAGUGAGUUCUUUACUAUUAAAAUUAAUUCA